rnacentral:rRNA from 1 species
AGUCGAGGGGCAGCGGGGGUAGCAAUACCUGCCGGCGACCGGCAAACGGGUGCGGAACACGUACGCAACCUUCCCAGAACAGGUGAAUAGCCCUCCGAAAGGAGGAUUAAUACACCGUAAGAUAUAGAGAUGGCAUCAUUUUUAUAUAAUAGGCAGCAAUGUCGGUUUUGGAUGGGCGUGCGGCUGAUUAGGUAGUUGGCGGGGUAACGGCCCACCAAGCCUCCGAUCAGUAACUGGUGUGAGAGCACGACCAGUCACACGGGCACUGAGACACGGGCCCGACUCCUACGGGAGGCAGCAGUAAGGAAUAUUGGUCAAUGGACGCAAGUCUGAACCAGCCAUGCCGCGUGAAGGAUGAAGGCCCUCUGGGUUGUAAACUUCUUUUAUCUGGGACGAAAAAAGGGAAUUCUUUCUCACUUGACGGUACCAGAGGAAUAAGCACCGGCUAACUCCGUGCCAGCAGCCGCGGUAAUACGGAGGGUGCAAGCGUUAUCCGGAUUUACUGGGUUUAAAGGGUGCGUAGGUGGGCAGGUAAGUCAGUGGUGAAAUCUUCAAGCUUAACUUGGAAACUGCCAUUGAUACUAUUUGUCUUGAAUUAUCUGGAGGUAAGCGGAAUAUGUCAUGUAGCGGUGAAAUGCUUAGAUAUGACAUAGAACACCCAUUGCGAAGGCAGCUUACUACGGAUAUAUUGACACUGAGGCACGAAAGCGUGGGGAUCAAACAGGAUUAGAUACCCUGGUAGUCCACGCCCUAAACGAUGGAUACUCGACAUCAGCGAUACACAGUUGGUGUCUGAGCGAAAGCAUUAAGUA